CCCAGGUGGCCAAGGAGGCCAAUGGCUCCUGGCCUGUGUCAGGAGUGCUGUGGCCAGCAGGAGCAGGGAGAUCAUUCUUCCUCUGUACUUGGCACUGGUGAGGCUGCACCCUUCCCUUAUUUUUAAGAUGAAACAAGUAAGGAACUGAGAAUCACUCCUGGAAUCCAGGUUUUUUUGUCUUGAGCCCCUGGGGUUUGUAAUUCUUGGUAGAGGGGAGCUGAGUUGUGUCAGAGGGGGAACAGGUGCUGUGGGGAAUGCAGGACUCAGUUCACCUGGGAACACAAUUCCCAGGUCCACCACCCAGACAGAUUUCUGGGAGCCUGGUGAUGCAGCAGUGCAGGCUGGGGACAGAGUGGCUGGACAGGCAGAGGGGGGCCUGGGGGUGCUGGUUGGUAGCUGGGUGAACAUGAGCCAGCAGUGUGCCCAGGUGGCCAAGGAGGCCAAUGGCUCCUGGCCUGGGUCAGGGGUGGUGUGGCCAGCAGGAGCAGGGAGCUCAUCCUGCCCCUGAGCUCAGCCCUGGUGAGGGCACACCUCGAGUGCUGUGUCCUGGUCUGGCCCCUCAGGUUGGGAAGGAUGCAAAGAGGAGAGCAGAGAGGUUGGAGAGGGGAUGGGAACACAAACCCUGUGAGGAAC